rnacentral:lncRNA from 1 species
CACAAAUGGGGUUAAUGCCCCUAUUAAAGAGGUCCCAGAAAGCAGCCUUGUUUCUUCCACCAUGUUAGGACACGGUGAGAAGUCAACAUGAAAAACCAGAAAUCGGGCCCUCACCAGACCCUGAAUCUACUGGAGCCUUGAUCUUGAACUUCCCAGCCCCCAGAACUAAAACAUGAGUACACAGACUUCUCUAGCCAGCUUGAAAACAUGCUGGGCGAUUUAUCUGGCAACAACAUGUUGAAUGGAGUAUUCAUAUUAUUACCAUAAUCAGGUCACUUGGCUGAAGUUGGUACCAUGACGGAUUUGUAGCUGCUAUUAGAGAUGCCACUCAAGGCAGAGAGUCUUGUCUAGCUGAGUCAUUAAGGUAAGAAGAAAAUGAAGAGGAAAGAGGGGAGAAAUAGCCAACAUGUACCAAGAACCUGCUGAGCCAGGCAUGGAUGAUGUCAUCUUGUCUCCUGUGCCUGGAUAUUUCCUGAGUCCUAGUUGAAUAAAAAAUGCAAUUCUUGACUUGAGAUGAAUCAGUUCCCCAAUUUAUACUUCAUUCGUGGAAACUGGGUCUUGGGCAACAUCUCAGCAAUUCCUUCCAAUCUGAAGUUCUCUCAUCUGCUGGUAACCGGUCCAUUCCUAUUGGCGUUCAAGCAAUCACAAACACAUCCUACUUUUGAGAAAUGUUCCAAAGGAGGAGUCAAAGCGGCUGUAAUCUUGAUUCGGUUUUAUGGGCAAUAGAAUUAUUUUACUGAUUCCUGGAAUCAUGGCUCCUAUACAUCUGCACUCUAUGAGCACUUUGGAAAUUAAAGGAUUGCCAGCUUUUCCACUUUGGGACAAAAAACAUUUGUGCUAAACAGCCGGAAAAAGCAAAUGCCAGUGUUAAUCAAACCAGCAUGGAAGUUAAUUAGAACCUCAAGAACAAGCGGAUGGGCUUAGCACCUUGGACACAUCAAUAUCUUGUUUCUAAAGAUGACCUCAAAAGAUUGCAUAACAAUAAAGCCCAGCACAAGUCAGAAAGUCAAUCUACUGAGGUCCUACAAUUCUCUUCAUUGACCUGAACAAACUCGACUCUGCUUUUCCCUUAAAUUUCUGUACAGAACCCUGACAACUCGUCUAUACUUUCUGUUAUUGAUUUCCCCCAUGCGCCUAAGUUUCUUAUGACUUCUGGAUUCUCCUUUUGGCUUUGCAGAACACCCCUACUUCCAAACUCUAGAGUAAAAUUCCUGUGAAGACUGAUACCUCAGAAGUGACUGCUUCACAGAUAGACAUCUAAUUUUUUAAUUGAGAUUUCAACUAUUUAACACUUACCGUGUUAACUCAUGACACUCUCCUCCAUUUGCUCAUAAACAACAAAACAAUAACAAAAAUGAAUGCUCACUGAGUGCUACAGAAUGCAAACUAUUAAAGAUACAGAAAUAAUGAAUAGGACUUCUGACCUUGAGUGGUUGGUAAAUAAAACAGAAAUAUAAAAAAUGAAAUAAAUAAUUAGGGUUACUGCCACUAGAGAAACAGAUCACAGGCUACAGAUUACUACUGGCCCUAUGAAGCAGGAAGACAGCACAGGUAUAGCAAGGGACCUUUUAUAUGUAGGUAGAACCUUAUUGUAGGUAAUGGUGAAAGCCAGUGAGCCCUUGCUCUGGGCUGCUCUGGUGAAUUGGCACUCCCUUCACUGUUUCGCUGACUAGACCUCAAGUACCCUCCAUGAGAGACUAGGGAGGCCUUGUGGAGCUGUGUCCUGUUUUCUACUUGCAUGAAUUAUUUGCAUUGCUUGUUUGUGAGUUUUAGCAAAAUAAACUGAAUGCAGACAAUGCCAUGUCCAAGUAAUCUUGCUUGGCAAUGUUUGAAUCUCUAUCAGACUUUGCUGCUGCUUACUUUAUUCCUUCUCCCAGUUCAACCCCAGAAAAGACACAGGAGUUAAAUGACAAAAAGUGUGGGUCUGAAGAACUAAAUCAAGACUGUUAGAAAACACUGGGCAGAGAGAGGUGG